CCUCCAACGCGCACAGCAGAGUGGCACAGUCCCGAGCAGAGCUUUGCCUCCGAGGCUCCGACGAAUCCGUCCAUGGGGAAGCGGAAAAGCUCAUCCCGCCGCUCGGCGGCGGUAAGCUCGGACGAAUCGGAAGAUGGGGAUACGCGAUGGAUCAUCUCGCCGCUUGGCCCCGACGCCUAUCGACCGCCCGCCCAAUCCCGUACCGGGUGCCCGUGUCAGUGCCACCAGCAGGGGACGAAGCAGAAGGCCCCGGGUGCCUCUCGGAGGCGUCGCAACCAGCCGAGAAGCGCUCGGUGUUCCACUGAGGAACUCUUCUUCCCAAUUAUCUCCACUGCCUUGAGAUGAAAUUGGAAAUAUUAAUGCACCCACCAUAAGGUAUGACAAACGCACCAGUUGAUGUCUCCUUCAUUCAGUUCCGCUGAUGAUCUAUAUGUCAAGCUACAUGACAUUUGUCAGGAUGUAAACACACCAUAGUGCAGAGCAGGAUCUCAUCUGAAUAUUAUGUCUGUUGUUCAGACUUCGCAACUUACUGUCAUAUGAAAUUGUGGUUCUUUUUUACUUCACCGGAGAAAAACAUUCCUCCUUCUCUUAAG